UACAGAAGUGGCAAGCGUUGUUCGGAAUUACUGGGCGUAAAGGGCGCGUAGGCGGCCGCCUAAGUCAGACGUGAAAUCCCCAAGCUUAACUUGGGAACUGCGUCUGAUACUGGGUGGCUUGAGUUCGGGAGAGGAAUGUGGAAUUCCAGGUGUAGCGGUGAAAUGCGUAGAUAUCGGGAGGAACACCUGAGGCGAAGGCGGGCUACUGGGCCGAUACUGACGCUGAGGAGCGAAAGCGUGGGUAGCAAACAGG
rnacentral:rRNA from 1 species